GCUUUCAACUCUCUGAACUUCGGUUCCUCAUCUGCCAGUUGGCAGACGCUCAGCAAAUCUUCCUAGACUCACGGGGCGAAUUGUACAGUUGGGUAAAUCGAGGCCCAGAGAUGGCAAAAGGACCGUCCAAGGUCGUACAGCCACCCGGAAUUACAAUUCUUUUCUGCCGGGUCACACGCUGUCAUCCACGUGUUACCUAAGAGAGCUUUCCAGCCUGUGCUAAGAAAACUGCCCCACAUCAUCUGCAGUAGGACGGGGGAGUUGGAGCCCUGGUCAGGCCACUCUGCUACUGACCACAGUUUUCUCAUCUCUAAAAAGGCGCAGUAACAAUAUAAUUACCGUAUGCAGUCCCCCAGGAUACAGGGUCAAAGGAGAGCACAACCAUCGCAGUUGGAAGCCCAUGGGGCAGGUGAGUCACUGUUGUCACUACUGGGGUCAAUUUUUUUUUUUUUCUUUUUGAGACGGAGUCUCGCUCUUUCCCCAGGCUGGAGUGCAGUGGCGCGAUCUCGGCUCACUGCAAGCUCCGCCUACCGGGUUCACGCCAUUCUCCUGCCUCAGCCUCCCGAGUAGCUGGGACUACAGGCACCCGCAGCCACACCCGGCUAAUUAUUUGUAUUUUUAGUAGGGACGGGGUUUCACCGUGUUAGCCAGAAUGGUCUCAUCUCCUGACCUCAUGAUCCACCCGUCUCGGCCUCCCAAAGUGCUGGGAUUACAGGCGUGAGCCACCGCGCCUGGGGUCACUAUUGAAGUUGGCUAAUGUCACUAUUGAAGUCAAGUGAGAGAGAGGGCCCUCUUGGAGUCAGACCACCUAGGUUCAAAUUCUGGAUCCUGCUUCCGGCUCCUUUCCUCUGUCCCCCUUCUCCCCUCGGUGCCCUCCAACCAGUGGGCCUGGGAAAGCGUGUUCAUGCUGGAAAUGCCUGCCCAGCCCUUGCCCAGUCACACAGAGCAAGUGCCCCAGAAAUGUCCUGAACCUCAGUUUACUGAGGGGAAACUAAGAACCUUCUGGCUACAGCUCUUGGGCUGAGCAGGGAUUAGGCUCGGGUCUGCGAUCCCAGGCCCUGCGGCCUCCCAGAGGCUUGGUUGAGAGCUCUGGCUCUCACUCCCCCACCUCCACCCAGCACCUGCCCCGGUCCAGGCUCACCCCCUACCCCUCCACCUGGUCAGUGGUGGCUCGGCCUCCUCUCAGCCCCUCCACCCCUCCUGGCUGUACACACCCUCAAGCUAACGGAAUUCAAACUGGUGGAGGAAGGCCUGCCCUGUCCCUCCCAGCCCCUGCCUCUCCCUCCCUACUCCCAGCCUCACUGGACCACUUUCAAGUCCUCCAGUGCUCCAGGCUCCAUCUUCAUGCCUCCAGGCCUUUGCACGUGCUGGUCCCUCUCCCAUUCUCCUGGUUAACUCCUCCACCUCCAUCCGAGCUAGGAUCUUCCCCUGGAGAGUGUCCCGGUUAGCACUACCCCACAACACACACACACACCGACAUACACGCCCCACAUCACAGGGACCACAUCCCACACAGGCACAGACACACUGCAUGACGCAGAUCACAGGCACAAAGGUGCAUGCGUGCACACAUACACACUCCCACUCCAUAUGCCAAUACACUUAUCCCCCUACUCCCACAUCACACAGACGGUUCCACACACUCCUCACACGCUCUGGCCACACAGUAAACACACACAGACCACAGAGCUCAUGUCUGGGCUGCCCUGGUGCCCUCCUCUGGGCUCGUGCCCCCAGCCUCAGCAUUUACCCCCCAUUGAGGGCAGGGACCCACCCAGCUCCGUUUUCCUCCAUUUCAGCUCAGGGCCCUGCACCAAGUCUCUCCCAGUUGUUGCUUGGACCCGGACUCCUCCCACAGUCACCACUGUCACAGUCCCACCUCCUUCAAGGUCUCAAACACCCCUCCCCUGUUUCUGGCAGGAGCCGUCCUCACUCCCUCUAUUGCCUCUCCAGACCCAGACUUCACCCUCAGGUCACCCUCACCUGGACUUUGGGGUGCCCCACACCCCGCCCCAGGCCCUGGCCUCUGGAAUAUUUGGAAACUUGAACUGGGCCAGAGGCUUAAGCUCACAUCUGUCUGGAGCCUCAACUUUCUCCUCUGUAAAAUGGGCUAACACUGAAAGAACCUUGCAGAAUCUCAGCAACGUCACAGAGGACAUUGUUAGCACAGCCAGCGGGCUCCUGCUGGGCUGAGUUUGUGGGUAAUCCAAGCCUCGGCAGGUACAGUUCCUCCCUCAGGGCCCAGGACACAGUGAGCAUACAAUAGACAUUAGCUGCUGUGGUGUCUUGAUUUCAAGCCCAGUGCAGAUGCAUCUGACUUACGAAACUUCAGUGACACCUGCUCUGUGCCAGACACUGAAGAUGGAGCAGUGAACAGCACUGACCCAGCCUGUCCUCCUGUUGCCUGCAGGCCAGAAGCAAGGUCUCGCUGUGUUACCCUGGCUGGAGUGCAGUGGCUACUUACAGGCAUGAUCAUAGCAUACUGCAGCCUCGAACUCCUGGACUAGAGCAGUUCUCCUGCCUCAGCCUCCAGAGCAGCUGGGACUGCAGACACGCACCACAGAGCCCAGCCUGAGUCAUUUUGAUUCUGUAACUGGCUUCCUCUCGGCGGGCAGGCUCACACCCUCCACCCCCAGCUGGAGAUGGAAGGAGGAUGCUCACCGCCCAUUCCUCAUGCAGGCCAUCGAUGGAAAUGUCAGACAGUGCGAGUCCACGCCUGAACACUUCUGGGGUCCGCUCUGGGACUGACACUGGCAGAUCCAUCGGUGAGCUCCCGCCUGCCACCUCUGGGCCUGCAUUGCGGUGAUAGGGCCAAGGGCCUGGGCCUUCAAUUCUCCAGACUUGCCAAAAUGCUCAGCGCAGGCCUCGUCGGCAACUGCAGACAAGCAGAGGCAGCACCUGGGCUCUGCCUGUGCCUGGCACAGUGAAGCGAGGGUGGGGGCAGGAAUGAGGGUCCUCUCCAUGCAAGGGGGGAAGAUAGAAGAACAAAAUUUCACCCUAAUGUAGUGUCUUUAGACCGUGCAAUGUUGUGCUCCUGUUAGUCUGAUAUCAGGGGCUUGCAGCCUGGCAAAGGAAAAAAAACAGGCUGAGGCACAUGAUAGAAGACAGGCAGGGAUGCCACAAUCAUAACCAUGGCAAAGACCAGGAUCAGAAAGGCCCACCAUCUCUGACCCCAAAUCCCUGGGCAGAUGGUUCCAGAACUCAGAAUUUUCCCAGUUGUAGAAAGAUGGGGCCAGGUGCAGUGGCUCACGCCUGUAAUCCCAGCAUUUUGGGAGUACAAGGUGGGCGGAUCACCUGAGGUCAGGAGUUCGAGACCAGCCUGGCCAACAUGGUGAAACCCUGUCUCUACUAAAAAAAAAAAAAAAAAUUAGCCGGGCGUGGCGAUGCAUGCCUGUAAUCCCAGCUACUCGGGAGGCUGAGCCAGGAGAAUUGCUUGAACCCGGGAGGCGGAGGUUGCAGUGAGCCAAGAUCGCGCCACUACACUCCAGUCCGGGCGACAGAGCAAGAGUCCAUUCCCCCACCACCAAAAAAAAAAAAAAAAGAAAGAAAGAUGAUGUGAUACAUAUCACAUAUUUCCUAACACCCCCAACCAAACACAUUUAUGCAUAUGCAUAAAGCAGACGAGGAAAGAUUCUAAAUAGGCUCUGAAUCUCAGUUUUCUCAUCUCUACAAUGGGGCAGUGAUGGCAUGCACCUCCCAGGGCUGUUCUGAGAAUCUGAUGCCUCCCAUUGCACUGGUGAGCCUGGCACAGGCACAGGUCCCACCCCAGGCCCUUUGAACUGGCUGUUCCUUUGGCCUGGAACAUUCCUCCCCAGAUACCUCCUGAGAGGGCUCCCUCACUUCCUUCAAGGCACUGCUCAAAUGCUACCUCUUCACAGAGGCUUUCCCUGACCACCCCGUCUCUUUCCUCUUCCUGCAUAGCCUCUGUCACCUGACAUUUUAUGUCAUAAAUUACUCAUUUAUUAAUUUCCUGCUCUCCCACAGUGGCACCCGAGCUCUGUGAGGGCAAGACUUUGUUCGGUUGUGGGCUAUGCCCCCAACCCCUCGGACAGUGCCUGCACAGGUGGACAUUUUUGUUGGAUGAAGGAUUUUCUGUUAAAUGUGUCUGGCACACACAGAAAAACAAAGCCCAGCAGGGUCUCGCCCUGUCACCCAGGCUGGAGUACAGUGGCGCAAUAUGGGCUCACUGCAACCUCCACCUCCUGGGCUCAAGUGAUCCUCCCAUCUCAGACCCUCAAGGAGCUGGGGCUACAGGCACGUGCCACCGUGUCCGGCUAAUUUUUGUAUUUUUUGUAGAGACAGGGUUUCACCAUGUUGCCCAGGCUGGUCUCAAACUCCUGAGCUCAGGUGAUCCGCCUGCCUUGGCCUGCGAUAAAAUUGCACAGAAGUAAAUACACACACGUGAGGAUACGGAAAACCGGGGAAACCUGAGCAAGAGCAGUCAGACCCCGGCUGUGAUGGCGCCCAGUAGUUCUGCGAGAUGUUACCAUUGGGGAAACUGAGUGAAGGCGGGUACCUGGGAUCCCUCUGUUUUCUUUUUUGUUGUUGUUGUUAUUUUGAGAUGAAGUUUCCCUCUUGUUGCCCAGGCUGGGUGAUCCACCUGCCUCGGCCUCCCAAAGUGCUGGGAUUACACGCGUGAGCCACUGUGCCCAGCCUCUCUGUUUUAUUUCUUCUUUUUUUUUUUUUUUUUUUGGAGACGCUCUGUCGCCCAGGCUGGAGUGCAGUGGCACGAUAUUGGCUCACUGCAAGCUCCGCCUCCUGGGUUCACACCAUUCUCCUGCCUCAGCCUCCCGAGUAGCUGGGACUACAGGCGCCCGCCACCUCGCCCGUCUAAUUUUUUGUAUUUUUAGUAGAGGCGGGGCUUCACCGUGUUAGCCAGGAUGGUCUCAAUCUCCUGACCUCGUCAUCCGCCCGUCUCGGCCUCCCAUAGUGCUGGGAUUACAGGCAUGAGCCACCACGCCCGGCUGUUUUAUUUCUUAUAACUGUACAGGAAUCUACAAUGAUUGUAACAAAAAUUUCAAUUAAGGCCACUCUAGGCACAUGGCCUGUGGGGUAGCCCUGCUCAACAAGAAGCCGUCAAAAAAAUGUUUUUUAAUUAAAAAAUUUCUUCAAUUAAAAAGCGUUAUCUUCCUCUGCCCGGAAAGGGUUAAGUGAGUCACUGCAGUUAGCUCCCCUUCCCCCACAACCACCUAGACCAGGCCAGGGACCAGCGGGCAAUUGCCUGGCAGCUGGAGUUUUCCUCCACUGUGGACUGUACUUCUUGCGUCACUCUGAAUGUCUCCAGUCUUUAUUCCAGAAUGUUCUGGUCCUCUCCCACUUUUCCAAGGACAGGAAUUCCCUAGUGGGGCUCCAGAAGAGGCUCUGGAGGAGAACAAGAAAGGCCCUUGUCAUCCAUUGGCCUCAGGCUGGGAAAUCUCGGUUCCACUCCCAGCCCAGCCUCAAUAUUAGGUUGUCAGUCUGGAGUCUGAGAGCCAUGCCCCCACCCCCUUAGUCCUUCACCUCCAGGAGAGUUGGGGAUACUGGAAAGAAUGUUGAGUGUCAGAGCCCCUCUCAGUGGCUCACGCCUGAAAUCCCAGCCCUUUGGGAGGCUGAGGCAGGUGGAUUGCUUGAGGCCAAGAGUUCAAGACCAGCCUGGCCAACGCGACGAAACCCUGACUCUACUAAAAAUACAAAAAUUAGCUGGGCGUGGUGGCACACACCUGUAAUCCCAGCAGCUCGGGAGGCUGAGGCAGGAGAAUUGUUUGAACCUGAGAGGUGGAGGUUGCAGUGAGCUGAGAUCACAACACUGCACUCAAAAAGUAGUUAAUUAAUUUAGUUUAAUUAAAAAAGAAUAUUGAGUGUCAGGCAAUCUGGGUAGAACCCAUUGUGUUUCUACAGGAUAGAAUCUGCUGUGUUCUCUAGCGGAACUUCCGGAUCACCUUCACCGUAUGACUCUAGACAAUCCCUGUCCACUCUUCAGUUUUAGAUGCCCCAUUCAAAGAAUGAAAGAAUUGUCCUAGAUGAUCCUUUAGGGUCUUCCAGGCUGAUGACAAGGGGGACCUGGCCCCUCUGCUGCUGGCCAAAGAGGACUUUACUUCCCAUUCCGUGUGGUUGAACAAGAAUUGCUGGGCUCCAGUCCUGCCUUUGGCCCUUCCCUACAUGUGACCUUGGGCCCUCUUUGCCUUUCAGAAUCAAUACAGUGAGAGAGUUAACACAAGCUCAGGUUAGUAAGUCAUUCAACAAACAUUUACUGAGCGCUUAUCAAAUACUGCAUGCUGGAGUGGACACUGGAGAAAAAGGUGAGGAGAAGGCCGGGCGCAGUGGCUCGUGACUGUAAUUCCAGCACUUUGAGGGGCAGAGGCAGGUGGAUUACCUGAGGUCAGGAGUUUGAGACCAGCCUGGCCAACAUGGCAAAACCCCGUCUCUACUAAAAAUACAAAUAUUAGCCAGGCAUGGUGGUGCAUAUCUGUAGUCCCAGCUACUCAGGAGGCUGAGCAGGAGAAUCACUUGAACUCAGGAGGUGGAGCGUGCAGUGGGCCGAGAUUGCACCUCUGCACUCCAGCCUGGGCAACAUAGUGAGACUCUGUCUCAAAUAAAUAAAUAAAGUGAGGAGAAAAAAAUACCAUCUCUGUCUUCACAGAACUUAUAGUUUGAGAGGGGAGAAUCCCACAAGUAAAUUAUAAAUCUCAGCUGAGAUUAUGCAAAGAAGCAAAGGCCGGACGUGGUGGCUCACGCCUGUAAUCCCAGCACUUUGGGAGGCCGAGACGGGCGGAUCAUGAGGUCAGGAGAUUGAGACCAUCCUGGCUAACACGGUGAAACCCUGUCUCUACUAAAAAUACAAAAAAAUUAGCUGGGCGUGGUGGCGGGCGUCUGUAGUUCCAGCUACUCGGGAGGCUGAGGCAGGAGGAUGGCGUGAACCCAGGAGCACAGGUUGCAGUGAGCCGAGAUGGCGCCACUGCACUCCAGCCUGGGCGACAGAGCGAGACUCUGUCUCAAAAAAAAAAAAAAAAAAGGAAGCAAAGUGCCCAGCUGGGAUGGUGGUUUCAGAGGCCACAGUGGGAGCUUCCCAGAGAAGGGAUGAUUGAGCUAAGUCUAAGCAAAAGGGGUGGUCAGGGCAGCAGCUGCUCCAAAACAGGGGCUGGGGGCUUAUGUGGAGAGAGAAGACAUGGAGAGACCAUGCCCAGAAGGAGGCGGCGGCUUCAGUGAACAGUGCAGGGGAGCAGGUCCGAGGAGGCCGCCUACCAGGGGAAGGAGUCUCAUCUCCAUCCUAGACAAAAAAAGGAUCUUUUGAGAUGCAUUAAGCAGGGGAGUCACAGAUUGGAUUUGUGUUUUGAGAAUCUCCUGCUUACCUAGAGAAGAAGGGCAUCUCCUGGGCCCUCACUGUUGCCUUAAAUGAUUUUUAUUGUGUAUUACUUAAACAUGUGCAAGCAUAAAAUGAGAUAUAAACUCCUUGUAGCUCUUAUACAAGCAUCAGACCAAGACAAAUUGACCCAUCACGUACAAAAUCGAUUCAAAUCAGAUUAAUUUUAUGUGACAUGUUAUUAUGCCUUUUGUCUGAAACCCUGCCACCACCCACAGUGCAAUUAUGGCCCAACCACUGUGGUGUUCUGAAUUUGUGGGACAGAGAAUAUUGGCCUUUUAAACACGUGCAUGCAUGCAUUUGCGUGUGCGCACACACACACAUCCCAAAUGAUUUUUUCCCACUAUAUAUGAAGAACUCCUACAAACCAAAAAGAAAAAGGCAGACAAUUCAAGAGAAAAAUGGGGGAGGGCUUGCAUUAAAGUACUUCAUAACAAGAGUACUUAGGAGGCCAACAAAUACACGAAAAGCUGCUAGCUUCAUGACUCAUGGGGGUGGCUUGGUCAGUUCAGGAUACUGUAACAAAAUACCUUAGACUGGGAAAUUUAUAAACAACGGAAUUUAUUGCUCACAGUUCUGGAGGCUGGGAAGUCCAAGAUCAAGGCAGCAGUAGAUCCGGUGCCUGAGCCCGUUCCCUGCUUCAAACAUGGCACCUUCUUGCUGUAUCCUCACAUGGUGGAAGGGGGAAGACAGUUCUCUGGGGCCUCUUUUAUAAGGGCAGUUAUCCAAUUCACAAGGAUAGAGCCCUCAUGACCUAAUCACCUUUCAAAGAUCCCCAUCUUCUAACACCUUCUAACACCAUCACCUUGGUGAUUAGGUCUUUUUGUUGUUGUUGUUGUUGAGAUGGACUCUCACUCUGUUGCCUAGGCUGGAGUGCAGUGGCGUAAUCUUGGUUCACUGCAACCUCUGCCUCCCGGGCUGAAGUGAUUAUCCUGUCUCAGCCUCCCAAGUGGCUGGGAUUACAGGCGUGUGCCACCAUGCCCGGCUAAUUUUCAUAUUUUUAGUAGAGACAGGGUUUCACCAUGUUGGUCAGGCUGGUCUCGAACUCCUGACCUCAUGAUCCGCCCACUUCGUCCUCCCAAAAUGCUGGGAUUACAGGCAUGAGCCACUGCACCCAGCCGAUUAAGUCUUAACGUAUGAGUUUUUGGGAGAAACUCAAACAUUCGGACAAUAGCAAGGAGAAUACAAAACCACAGUGAGCUACCGCUUCAGACACCAGAGAAGUUUAAGUGAAAAAGACUGGCAAUACCAAGUGCUGAUGAGGAUAUGGAGCAACCAGAACUCUCAGACAUUGCUGAUGGGAAUCUAAAUUAGUAUAACCACCACGAAAGCAUCCGUAAGGUUUAAUUGUGUUGAACACACCCUGCCCUCUGACCAAGCAUUUCCACUCCUGGGCAUACAGGCAAAAGAAAUGCAUCCACGUGUUCAUCAAAAGAUGUAACCUGUGCCAGGUGAGGUGGUUCAUGCCUGUAAUCCCAGCACAUCGGGAGGCCAAGGAGGGAGGAUUGCUUGAGCCCAGAAGUUCGAGAGCAGCCUAGGCAACAAGGCAAAACCUCGUCUCUACUAAAAAGUAGCCAGGCAUGAUGGUAUAUGCCUGUAGUCCCAGCUACUCAGGAGGCCAAGGCAUGCAGAUUGAUUGAACCCGGAAGGUGGAGGCUACAGUGAAUUGUGAUCUCGCCACUGCACUCCAGCCUGGGUGACAGAGCAAGAUCUUGUCUCAAUUAAAAAAAAAGGAAGAAAGAAAGACAUAACCUGGAAUAUUCACACCAACACUAUUCAGGAUAGCCCUAAACUGGAAAGAAUCUGAAUAUCCUCCGGCUUUAGAACAGAGAGAAAUUAUAGACUAUUCAUUCAUACAGGGGAUGAUUGAUCAGCUUUAAGAAUAAACAAACCGUACACAACAAUAUAGAUGAAUCUACAACCUUAAUGUGCAAAAUAGUUCACAUAUAUAAAGGACAAAAACAGGCAAAACUACUCCAUGGUGUUAGAAAUAGGGGUAGAGGUUACCCUCAUGCGGCAGGAGGGUUAGUGAUAGGGGAUUUGGAAGAGGAGGAGCCCAAUGGACUGAACAGCUGAGCUGGAAACAGCAAUUUGUUCCUUAAAGUUCUGAACCCAACUGUUAUCCAGCAUGGAGUCUGUCUGGAGAGGCCAGAUGUGGGGCCUCUCACAGGGGAAUGAGAAGUGCCUCUCAGGGUCCCACCCAUGAUCCCCCUUUCCUUGCCCACACAACCACCAACUGGCAAGUAGUAACCCAGGACCUGUAGCCCCCACUGGCUUGACACAGAGCAUAAUGCAAGCUUUUCCUGCUCCAGGUCCUGGACACCACUUUGCCCUUUGCCCCACACGUACAGCCCCCUGACCAAAAGCUGGGUACUCUGGCUUGACUAGAGGGAGCUAGACUCCAGGAAUAAGUAAGGAGCUGGGCUUCCACGCUAGAGAACAAGAGCUUCUCUGGGGAAAGGGGCUUCCCAUGAAGCCCUGGGGCACUGGGAGAUUAAUGGGCAGACCUCUGGCCUCAGCUUCCAGGGAAGGGGAGGGUGUGGGCCAACAUGCGGUGGCUACACUGACCACAAGCCGAUGACCCCAGCCAGCCUCAGGAUGUCUCAGCUCUAGGCAUGGUUUUUCGUUUUGUUUUGUCGUGUUUUGUUUUUGAGAUGGAACCUCGCUCUGUCGCCUAGGCUGGAGUGAAGUGGCACCAUCUCGUCUCCCUGCAACCUCCACCUCCUGGGUUCAAGCGAUUCUCCUGCCUCAGCCUCCUGAGUAGCUGAGAUUACAUGUGCGUGCCACCUUGCCCAGCUAAUUUUUGUAUUUUUAGUAGAGAUAGGGUUUCAUCAUGUUAGCUAGGCUGGUCUCAAACUCCUGACCUCAAGUGAUCUGCCUGCCUCAGCCUCCCAAAGUGCAAGGAUUACAGGCAUGAGCCACCAUGCCCGGCAUAGGCAUGGUUUUGACAAUCUGUCUCUUUGUGCCCUGGCUCCUUCUCCAACUCCUCUUUGGAGGAGGCACAGGAGGAGGGGUCAUUUCACUGUUCCUGAAAAGUAGACAUAUAACCUACAUGCAACUGCCAGGUGAUAAGGGCCCCAUCUGUCUGGCAUGACGUUGGAGGUCCACAAAGGCUGAUUAGAUGAAUGCUCAGCUCUGGGGCCUCCCCACAGAGCUCACAGACAGGCGUGAAGGAAAGCAGGACUCUUAUUAGAAUAUGUUCAGAGUUUUCACUGAAGAAGCCUCCUGUGUGGGCCAGGCACUGUGCUCAGUGCUUUGAUUCACAGUCUCAUUUAAUUCUCACCAUUUACAGACAAGAAUUCAGCUAAGAUCCUUUUCAAUCAAGUCUGGCAAUAUCUGCCUUUCAAUGGCAGUGCCUAGUCCUUUCAUAUGUAAUAUACUUAUCAUUAUGGGUGGGUUUAAGUUUUAUCAUCUUGCUAUUUGUUAUCUAUUUGUCCCCCCUCUUUUGUUCCUCCUUUACUGCCUUCUAUUUGGUUGAGACUUAAUAAAAUAUUUUAUUCCAUCUUCUCUACUUACUUUUUAGCUAUGCCUCCUUAUAUUUUUGGUUGCUGGAGUGUUACAAUAUGCAUUCUUCAAUAUCCAGUCUACUUUCCAAUAAUAUUACACCACUUCAUGUAUAACGUAAGAACGUUACAAAAAUAUAAUGCCAGGGCUGGGCGCAGUGGCUCACGCCUGUAAUCCCAGCACUUUGGGAGGUCGAGGCGGGCAGCUCACCUGAGGUCAGGAGUUCGAGACCAGCCUGACCAACAUGGAGGAACCCCAUCUCUACUAAAAAUACAAAAUUAGCCGGGCAUGGUGGCUCAUGCCUGUAAUCCCAGCUACUCAGGAGGCUGAGGCAGGAGAGUUGCUUGAACCGGGGAGGUGGAAGUUGCAAUGAGCCAAGAUUGCGCCGUUGCAC
rnacentral:lncRNA from 1 species